CAACCAGCAGCUGUAGCUCAGUGAUGGAAUGACUGCUUGGUGUUGUGUUGUGACUGUGGGCCUGAGUUUGGUGUUUUCAGCAGGUGUUCAGUGGGCAGGACCAUCUACUGCGCUGAAGGGCUGGAGGAGGUCUGAACAGGUCCAUACUUGACUUCAACAAGGGAGCGAAAUUCAAGGUCUUCAAGGACACAUCCAUCCAUUGUCAAAUGUUUAUCCUGCGUACAGGGUCGCGGACAAGGACACAUAGGGCCUAUUUAGGUUAAAAAGACCUAGCAGAUUUUGCCUUUAAUAGAAGAUACAUCAAUUUUCAGGUUCACGUUUUUUUUACCCCUCACUUCUAUUCUAGGUUGUUGGAUGAGGUCCAAAUGGCUAAUCCACCUCUAAAACGUGGGCUAGCACACUUUCUGGACAUGUUCACAAAUAGCCUAUACGUUUUGGGGUCCAUCUAAGAUUGCCCUUGGCCGUUUUGAUAACUUUAACAACCAGCAUGAUAUCUUUAGUUAAAGGAAGGGGAGUCCUCUUUAAGUAAAAUGUCCCUCAUUUGUAUGGAAUUUUUUAUUAGCUAGGUGAUUAUGAAAAACCUGAGCAGUGCUUCAGGAAGGGCACCUUUUAAGGUAAUCAGAUUUUAUUUGCGGAGCUUGGGAGAGAAGGCAGAAUUUUUUGUUCAAGACUAAGCUGUAAAAUAACCUGCAAUUUUGUAAUGAAUUGUUUGACUGCAACUGCUUUGUGCUGUCUAGUAAAUCCACGAGGGUUUGGCACUUUGUGUGCAUGACACAAAUAAAAGAAAACAGUUAUCAUGUAACAAUAAAGGUUAUUUUAACAAACACAUAAAAAGACUGGGAACAAUAGUUGGAAUUGCCGCUGGUGAGCUUCACUCGGCUCUCCCGUAAUCAGCAUCACUUUCUUCAGCUAAUCAAAUGCUGAAUCACUCUGGCAAAGCAGAGGGGAAAAGAGAAGUUGAGCUCAGAGGACGACCACAAAACUCCAGGAGGGUCCAUGUGAGAAACUGACCUAAUGAUGAUGCAGUGUGGGAUCAGAUAGGACAUCAGUCAGCAGCGAUAGUGACUUGAACGAUUGAGUUUUACUUUAGACUGAGGCUGUCUUCACCGUCCCUCCCUCCUCCAUGUGUCUGAUGCCUGCUGACUGCUGAAGAUAUCCAUCUCUUCAUCUCCUUGGAGCUUCACUCUGUUCUUUCACUACAUCACUCCAUCAUCUGUCCAGCAGUCAUGAAUCCCUACAGAAACACAAACUUGAACUCUCACCCACGUGAUGAUGCCUCGGGCUCUUUACCAAAUCCAUCUCGUUUUUAACCCCCUGACCCUUACGACAAUUCCCAUAAUCCAUCUUCAUCAGCCGUCUUACCGUCUCCUCCAAUCAUCCAGACGGGUCAUAGCUCUGUGACAGUUUUGAGCCAAUACUCCCCUCCCUAUCCGGCCCCCUCAGACCAAGAUGGAGGUCAAAGCAUGGUUCGGUCAUCAAACACGCCACUCCCAGGCUCAGGUCCAGGCUUCAGCCUCGGUUCCAGGCCUCAGUCCAGCUUAGCUUCAGUCUCAUCUCCAGCUAACCCUCCCUCUGCAGUGUCUGCUACACCAAACCCUUACCCUGCCCCCGCCACACC